GAUGAACGCUGGCGGCGUGCCUAAUACAUGCAAGUCGAGCGAACGGACGAGAAGCUUGCUUCUCUGAUGUUAGCGGCGGACGGGUGAGUAACACGUGGAUAACCUACCUAUAAGACUGGGAUAACUUCGGGAAACCGGAGCUAAUACCGGAUAAUAUUUUGAACCGCAUGGUUCAAAAGUGAAAGACGGUCUUGCUGUCACUUAUAGAUGGAUCCGCGCUGCAUUAGCUAGUUGGUAAGGUAACGGCUUACCAAGGCAACGAUGCAUAGCCGACCUGAGAGGGUGAUCGGCCACACUGGAACUGAGACACGGUCCAGACUCCUACGGGAGGCAGCAGUAGGGAAUCUUCCGCAAUGGGCGAAAGCCUGACGGAGCAACGCCGCGUGAGCGAUGAAGGUCUUCGGAUCGUAAAACUCUGUUAUUAGGGGAGAACAUAUGUGUAAGUAACUGUGCACAUCUUGACGGUACCUAAUCAGAAAGCCACGGCUAACUACGUG
rnacentral:rRNA from 1 species